rnacentral:misc_RNA from 1 species
UUUCCGUAGGUGAACCUGCGGAAGGAUCAUUAAAGUUAUAGUCCCCCGGCCCCUCCGGGCUGGGGUCUUCUAUACCACCCUUUGUUUAUUACACCUUUGUUGCUUUGGCAGGCCUGCCCUCGGGCUGCUGGCUCCGGCCGGCUCGUGCCUGCCAGAGGACCUAAACUCUGUUUGUAUAUGAAGUCUGAGUACUAUAUAAUAGUUAAAACUUUCAACAACGGAUCUCUUGGUUCUGGCAUCGAGAAGAACGCAGC